rnacentral:rRNA from 1 species
GGCGCAAGCGGGAUGAACCCAUGCCGAGUGUAUGAAGAAGGCCUUCGGGUUGUAAAGUACUUUUCAGCGGGGAGGAAGGCGGAGAGGUUAAUAACCUCGCCGAUUGACGCUACCCGCAGAAGAAGCACCGGCUAACUCCGUGCCAGCAGCCGCGGGCAGACGGAGGGAGCAAGCGUUAAUCGGAAUUACCGGGCGUAAAGCGCACGCAAGCGGUCUGUUAAGGCACAUGUGAAAUCCCCCGGGCUUAACCUGGGAACUGCAGUAGGGACUGGCAGGCUUGAGUCUCGUAGAGGGGGGUAGAAUUCCAGGUGUACCGGUGAAAUGCGUAUAGAUCUGGAGGAAUUCCGGUGGCUAAUGGGGAUCCCUGGACGAACUGACGCUCAAGUGCAAAGCGUGGGAGCAACAGGAUCAAAACCCUGUAGUCCACGCCGACACGAAGUCGAUUGAGGUUGUGCUCUUGAGGCUUCUCGGAGCUAACGCGUUUCACCGCCCGGGGGAGU